CUCUCGUCUGUGUGGCGAGUUUUUUCUCUCGUCUGUGUGGUGAGAUUUCCUUCUGAGUAUGGACUCUUUAUUUUCUCGACUAAACCUUGAUGACGAUAAAGAGGCAUCGCUCAUCUUCAAUCAUGUGAUGAUGGAGAUCCCUUCUGCUUUCAAUGAAUUUACUAUGGUUGCUCGAUUAACAGAUAGGUCUGUUAAUUUUGGUGCCUUGCGUUCCAUUUUAUCUGCUGUAUGGUGACUGGGACAUGGAGUUUUUAUGCAGGAGUUGUAGUAGAACAGAUACUUAAUUCAGUUUUUCCACCAAGUCAUUCUCAAGAGGAUUGUGAAUGGAGGUCCAUGGUCAUUUUACAAUCACCUACUGGUUAUGCAUCAUCUUCAACCUGAGAUUAUUGCUCUAAGAGGAUGAGGUGUUUGGCUUCGUGCUUUAUCGAGACGCAAUAACUCGUUAGGGAAUUAAUGGUUGCAAGAUCGCAGUGGGGCUCCUUUGUCUACCACUCCAUCGAUGCAUUCCAAUGUGUUUGAUAAGCAAGGGGAGUAGCUUAAUUCAACCGAUGAUCAAUAUGAGGAUUUUAUGGCUAUUGGAUAAAAUGUAGAGUAAUUUAGCUGAUGGGUUGCCCAUCAGUUGCGAUAAAAGUAAAAAGAGGCAGCAUAUUGAUUUUUUAAGAACAAAGUUUGCGAGCUCUUCUUUGUAUAAGCUCCCUUCUUUGAACAUUUGCAAUGUACUUGAGAUUGAUGAAAUGAGUAUACUUGGAUUCCAGGCCUGCCGAGAGC